AUUUUAUAAAUAUUGAUUCAAAUACAUCCACCAUAUAACCCAAUUCUAAAAUAAAAUCCGUUAUGUAAUUUCUUACCCGUCCCAUGAUUUUUUUUUUAAAGUAGUAAUUUUUAAAAUUUAAGAAUUAUUUUUUAUAUAUAAAAGCUUUGCAAAUUGUAUCAUUCUCUAAUACAUUUAUAUUUUAUAGUUUAAUUUUAUAUAUAGUAAUAUUAUACAUACCACAUAACAUUUUUGGUUUUAUAUAAUCUUUUCUAAAUUAGGAUGAUUUGAUAUGUUUAAUAUUAGUAGUUUUAAAAAAUAAUAAAUUAAAGAUUUAACCCGUAUUGAAACGGUGGAUUAGUUAUAUUUUACUUUUUUAUUAAUGUUGAUUCAAAAACCCGUCCCUUCAAAUCCGUCUUCCAAAAAGCAAUUUAUUUUAUUAAUAUUAAUUUUAUUAAUGAUAUGACUCUGAAUUAUAAUCUAAACAUUUUAACUAAUAACAUAGGAGUGCACCAUAUUUAUUCAAUAGGAAAAUGUAUCAUAUGACCUGAAUGCACUUUUACCCAAAUCCACCAAAAAAGCAAAUAUAUUAGUUAGCUUAAAUUUGUUAAAGAAUACAAAUUGAAAAAGUAUAUUACAUUUUAUUCGAAUAUAGUAUCAAAACUUAUAUAACACAGAGAUUUGAUAAUUUUUUAAUUGUUGAAUACUUUUUGUUUUGCUAAUUUUUAUGUGAUUAAGAUUUAAUUAAUUUCGUAUAUAAAAUAUUAAAUUAUUUUACGAACUUAUUUGUUUAUAAUUUGGUAACAGAUAGAUAUUUGAAUAUUCAAUAUAUUUUGCUUCAGUUUAGGAAAUAUUUGAUGACCCAUCUUUAGAUCCAAUAAGCCCUAUAAUCUAGAUAUUAACCUGCUGUAUACCGCAGGUAGACUUAUAUUUUAGUUAAACUAAAAACUUUUAUUGUAAAGAUGAUUUAAAAAUAUAUGAUAUUAUUUUAUUUGAUUUUAAAUGUAUAUUAAACUGUGAGUUGUAUAUGUUUUGUUAAUAUUAUGUAUAUUGUUUAGUGUUUAAGAUUAUACACUUGUAGUUUGAUUGCUAAUUUAAGAGUUUCACCUGUAGUAUACCAUCUUGUAUUAAUAUCGAUCUAAACCCGUCAAUUCUAAGAUUUUCCAGCUUGUAUUAAAAAUUGAAUCACAUCAUACAUAUAAGAAAAUCUAAUAUGUUUUUAAUUAUUGUAGUAUAUAAGAUUAUAAAUUUUCAAUAUAAUAUGUAUGAAAUUGAAUAUAAAUAUUUCAAAUUAUGACCCGUUACUCAGUAGAAAGUUUUCUUAAAUCUAUUUUCACCCGUUAUAAUAUUUUUUCAUGUAUUGAACAGUUUAUAUUCGUUUUUAAAAAAUCAAAUUAUGGCAUAUGCGAAAAAACUCUAAUUAUUUUUUAUAAUGAUGAUAUUAUUUUUCGCAAAAAUAGAAUCAUAUAAAGAUGAGAAGUGAACUAUAAUAAUUAAUAAAAAAUUAAUAUGAUAAUUUAGAUAUCAAAUCUAAUUUGUU
rnacentral:sRNA from 1 species